GGCCAGUUAGCUCAGUCGUUUGAGCGCGAUGCUGACAACAAUGACAACACUGACAUUGCGGGUUCGAUUCCCGCUCGGUCCC
rnacentral:tRNA from 1 species